rnacentral:rRNA from 1 species
AUUGAACGCUGGCGGCAUGCCUUACACAUGCAAGUCGAACGGCAGCACGGGAGCAAUCCUGGUGGCGAGUGGCGAACGGGUGAGUAAUACAUCGGAACGUGCCCAAUCGUGGGGGAUAACGCAGCGAAAGCUGUGCUAAUACCGCAUACGAUCUACGGAUGAAAGCAGGGGAUCGCAAGACCUUGCGCGAAUGGAGCGGCCGAUGGCAGAUUAGGUAGUUGGUGAGGUAAAGGCUCACCAAGCCGUCGAUCUGUAGCUGGUCUGAGAGGACGACCAGCCACACUGGGACUGAGACACGGCCCAGACUCCUACGGGAGGCAGCAGUGGGGAAUUUUGGACAAUGGGCGAAAGCCUGAUCCAGCCAUGCCGCGUGCAGGAUGAAGGCCUUCGGGUUGUAAACUGCUUUUGUACGGAACGAAACGGCCUUUUCUAAUAAAGAGGGCUAAUGACGGUACCGUAAGAAUAAGCACCGGCUAACUACGUGCCAGCAGCCGCGGUAAUACGUAGGGUGCAAGCGUUAAUCGGAAUUACUGGGCGUAAAGCGUGCGCAGGCGGUUAUGUAAGACAGUUGUGAAAUCCCCGGGCUCAACCUGGGAACUGCAUCUGUGACUGCAUAGCUAGAGUACGGUAGAGGGGGAUGGAAUUCCGCGUGUAGCAGUGAAAUGCGUAGAUAUGCGGAGGAACACCGAUGGCGAAGGCAAUCCCCUGGACCUGUGCUGACGCUCAUGCACGAAAGCGUGGGGAGCAAACAGG